rnacentral:misc_RNA from 1 species
UCCGGUUUGACACCGGCAGUCUCGCUAGAGUACUCGGCAUUACCCGUGAGCAACUAACGACAGGGGUUGCGCUCGUUAAGGGACUUAACCCGACACUUCACAGCACGAGCUGACGACAGCCAUGCAGCACCUGUGACCGUUCCAACCUUGCGGCUGUGGCCCUACUUUCAUAGGGUUAAUCCGGCCAUGUCAAGCCCAGGUAAGGUUCUUCGCGUUGCCUCGAAUUAAGCAACAUGCUCCACCGCUUGUGUGAGCCCCCGUCAAUUCAUUUGAGUUUUAGCCUUGCGACCGUACUCCCCAGGCGGCACACUUAACGUUUUUACUACGACCGAUACGGCGUCAAAACCGCACCGGUCUAGUGUGCAUCGUUUACGGCGUGGACUAC